AUUCCUCCUGUCUGUGUCCUCUACAAGUUAGUAGGUUCUUUUGGAUUUAUGCAGAGUUAGUUUGGGGUUUUUUUUUCAUCCAAAAAAAAUGGGCACAAGACUGUUGGGCACACCUGGAAGAAAAGGAUAAUCAAGCACCACAGAAGGUUACCAGUGAUAAUAAAGGACGAGGUGAUGGGAGCUACCAGGUUUUGAGAACACCUACAACGAGAAUGGUAGAAAGAUAGAAAAUCUGUCACAAAGUCUCAUGUAAGAGAGACAGGACAUCCUUAAGCAAAGCUGACACAAAAUCAAGACUUUUCAAGGCAAUACCUGCAGUAAAAUAUAACUAUUCUGACACUGUCAGUCUCUGCAAACAUCUCCUGGUGCAUUAUUUUACACCUAGUAAAAAAUUUCCACAUCA